rnacentral:tRNA from 1 species
GCCCUUAUAGCUCAGUUGGUAGAGCANNGCAUCUGAUUUGUAAUCAGGGGGUCCCGGGUUCGAGUCCUGGUGGGGGCACCA